GUGGAGGGUACUAGUGCCUGUGUUCUGGUGGAUGAGGCUGGAUCUUGUCUUUCUGGUGGGCAGGUCCACAUCUGGUGGUGUGUUUUGGGGUGUCUGUGGCCUUAUUAUGAUUUUAGGUAGCCUCUCUGCUAAUGGGUGGGGUUGUGUUCCUGUCUUUCUAGUUGUUUGGCAUAGGGUGUCCAGCACUGUAGCUUGCUGGUCGUUGAGUGAAGCUGGGUGUUGGUGUUGAGAUGGAGAUCUCUGAGAGAUUUUUGCUGUUUGAUAUUACGUGGUACUGGGAGGUCUCUUGUGGACCAGUGUCCUGAAGUUGGCUCUCCCACCUCUGAGUCACAGCACUGACUCCUGGCUGGAGCACCAAGAGCCUUUCAUCCACACGGCUCAGAAUAAAAGGGAGAAAAAGUAGAAAGAAAGAAAGAGAGAAAGAAAGAGGAUAAAAGAAAAUAAAAUAAAGUAAGGUAAAAUAAAAUAAAGUUAUUAAAAUAAAAAAAUAA